CGGAUCGGAGUCUGCAACCCGACUCCGUGAAGCUGGAUUCGCUAGUAAUCGCGCAUCAGCCAUGGCGCGGUGAAUACGUUCCCGGGCCUUAUACACACCGCCCGUCAAGCCAUGGAAGCCGGGGGCGCUUGAAGUGCGUUGCCGCAAGGCGCGCCCUAGAGCGAAACCGGUGACUGGGGCUAAGUCGUAACAAGGUACC
rnacentral:rRNA from 1 species